GAUGAACGCUGGCGGCGUGCCUAAUACAUGCAAGUCGAGCGAACGGACGAGAAGCUGGCGCGUCUGAUGUUAGCGGCGGACGGGUGAGGCACACGUGGAUAACAUAACUAUACGACUGGGAUAAUUUCGGGAAACCGGAUCUAAUGCCGGAUAAUAUUUUGAACCGCAUGGUUCCAGAGUGAAAGUCGGUCUUUCUGUCACUUAUAGAUGGAUACGCGCUGCAUUAGUUAGUUGGUAAGGUAACGGCUUACCCAAGCAACGAUGCAUAGCCGACCUCAGCGCGUCGUCCGACACCCUGGAACUGAGACUGAGUCGCGACUCCUACGCGGAGACGCAGUAGGGAAUCUUCCGCGAUGCGGGAGAGCCUGACAGAGCAACGCCGCCUGAGUGAUGAAGGUCUUCUGAUCGGAAAGCUCUGUUGUUCGGGAGGAACAUAAGUGUAAGUAACUGUGCACAUCUUGACGGUACCGGGACAAAAAGCCCCGGCUAACUACGUG
rnacentral:rRNA from 1 species